rnacentral:rRNA from 1 species
AUUGAACGCUGGCGGCAGGCCUAACACAUGCAAGUCGAACGAGUGGCGGACGGGUGAGUAAUGUCUGGGAAACUGCCUGAUGGAGGGGGAUAACUACUGGAAACGGUAGCUAAUACCGCAUACCAUCGGAUGUGCCUAGAUGGGAUUAGCUAGUAGGUGGGGUAAAGGCUUACCUAGGCGACGAUACCUAGCUGGUCUGAGAGGAUGACCAGGCACACUGGAACUGAGACACGGUCCAGACGCCGACGGGAGGCAGCAGAGGGGAAUAUUGGAGAAUGGGCGCAAGCCUGAUGGAGCAAUGCCGCGUGUAUGAAGAAGGCAUUCAGGUUGUAAAGUACUUUCAGCGGGGAGGCGUUACCCGCAGAAGAAGCACCGGCUAACGCCGUGCCAGCAGCCGCGGUAAUAC